GAGAGCUUGCUCUCGGGUGACGAGCGGCGGACGGGUGAGUAAUGUCUGGGAAACUGCCUGAUGGAGGGGGAUAACUACUGGAAACGGUAGCUAAUACCGCAUAACGUCGCAAGACCAAAGUGGGGGACCUUCGGGCCUCAUGCCAUCAGAUGUGCCCAGAUGGGAUUAGCUAGUAGGUGGGGUAACGGCUCACCUAGGCGACGAUCCCU
rnacentral:rRNA from 1 species